rnacentral:rRNA from 3 species
GCAAGAGUGAACCACCUGAUCCCUUCCCGAACUCAGAAGUGAAACCUCUUAGCGCUGAUGGUAGUGUGGGGUUACCCAUGUGAGAGUAAGUCAUCGCCAGCU